GCCUGGGUGGCUCAGUUGGUUGAGCGUCCGACUUCAGCUCAGGUCAUGAUCUCACAGUUUGUGGGUUCAAACCCCACAUCAGGCU
rnacentral:tRNA from 1 species